rnacentral:rRNA from 1 species
UGAACGCUGGCGGCAGGCCUAACACAUGCAAGUCGAACGGUAACAGGAAGCAGCUUGCUGCUUCGCUGACGAGUGGCGGACGGGUGAGUAAUGUCUGGGAAACUGCCUGAUGGAGGGGGAUAACUACUGGAAACGGUAGCUAAUACCGCAUAACGUCGCAAGACCAAAGAGGGGGACCUUCGGGCCUCUUGCCAUCGGAUGUGCCCAGAUGGGAUUAGCUAGUAGGUGGGGUAACGGCUCACCUAGGCGACGAUCCCUAGCUGGUCUGAGAGGAUGACCAGCCACACUGGAACUGAGACACGGUCCAGACUCCUACGGGAGGCAGCAGUGGGGAAUAUUGCACAAUGGGCGCAAGCCUGAUGCAGCCAUGCCGCGUGUAUGAAGAAGGCCUUCGGGUUGUAAAGUACUUUCAGCGGGGAGGAAGGCGAUAAGGUUAAUAACCUUGUCGAUUGACGUUACCCGCAGAAGAAGCACCGUC